GAUGAACGCUGGCGGCGUGCCUAAUACAUGCAAGUCGAGCGAAUGGAUUAAGAGCUUGCUCUUAUGAAGUUAGCGGCGGACGGGUGAGUAACACGUGGGUAACCUGCCCAUAAGACUGGGAUAACUCCGGGAAACCGGGGCUAAUACCGGAUAACAUUUUGAACCGCAUGGUUCGAAAUUGAAAGGCGGCUUCGGCUGUCACUUAUGGAUGGACCCGCGUCGCAUUAGCUAGUUGGUGAGGUAACGGCUCACCAAGGCAACGAUGCGUAGCCGACCGGAGAGGGUGAUCGGCCACACUGGGACUGAGACACGGCCCAGACUCCUACGGGAGGAAGCAGUAGGGAAUCUUCCGCAAUGGACGAAAGUCUGACGGAGCAACGCCGCGUGAGUGACGAAGGCUUUCGGGUCGUAAAACUCUGUUGUUAGGGAAGAACAAGUGCUAGUUGAAUAAGCUGGCACCUUGACGGUACCUAACCAGAAAGCCACGGCUAACUACGUGCCAGCCGCCGCCGUAA
rnacentral:rRNA from 1 species